UUAGAUGCCUCAUUUAUGUCACCUUUCUGUGCUUCCUUCUUCUUAUCACUAGUCAAAAAGGGAUUACAUUUGUGUGUGAGGGACGCUGAGCAGUGGCCUUCACUCCCGCAUUUCUUCGGACUCUUGCAUCAUCAGACAUCUAUUUUCCCUCCACACAACACAGGGGUGCACAUGGGGCUUGGAGUGAUUUUACAGGAGACUGAAAUUGAAAGCCAGUGAAACAUACUGAGUUUAUGGAAGUGGUAGUGUUGCAGCUCAACUUAUGUCACAGACCUGUUCCGGUACAAUGAAUCUCGAGGCGGAAAUAGGAGUGGCACCCUGUCCUAUUUCCCCUAGUGAUCCACUAGUAAAAUUUUUGCUUCCUGUUACUGCACCGUUCUGCUCUGCUGAUCUAAAAGUCUUAGUUCCAAAGGGAGGAAUACUGCUACCAGGAGACACAACAAUCAUUCCACUGAAUUGAAAGUGAAGACUGCCACCCAACUGCUUUGGGCUCUUCAUGCUUCUCAGUUAACAAAGAAGGGAGUUCUCGUCGCUGUGCUGGCUGGGGUGAUUGAUCUGGGUUUCCAAGGGAUAUUGGGCUGCUACUUCAUGACGAAGCACACUGCCGGCCGCAAGGCCGAGCCUCCAAUGCCACGGACUGGGGAUACCUUCUCUCCACUUCCGUCUGCCGUGGGCAAACUUGCCGGCCAAGCUUCCUGAGAAGCACGGUUCCUGGCACAUCAUUGUGCGCCCUGACAGUUACAGUUCACAUCUGGAGAGCCUGCUGCCAUCUGAGAAGAUUCCUUUAGCAAAGCUUAAAUCAAAAUGAGGGAUUCCUGGGUAGCUGAUGAAGAAACAGUCUAACAAGGGGAUUCGAACAAUUAUUUCAAUUAUAAUGAAGUGAAGUCAAGGUAACUUUGAACAGGCCAUUAUCAUUGUGCUUGAGGAAAGAAUUUUCAAAAUCCCAAGCUAAGGUGAACCACAGCUUCAGCAAUACAAAAAGGAUUGAGACGGACAUUCUCUUUUCCUAUGAAAAGCUCUCGAUAGAGUGAUGGCAAUUUAUAUUGCGCUGAACGCCCGAUUGAAGUUCUGCUUCAGCCAAUUUCUUACCACUGGAUCUUCCUCUGCAGUCUUCAAUCACAUUUAGUUAUGCUCUUUCCUAAACACACACACACACACACACACACACACACACACACACACAUAUCCCAAUCCCCUCAUCUUACCAAUACCCACUCAAGCUUUUCUCUUCCUUUCUGUGCUAACUCCAUUUGCCAGCAUUCCCCAGACCACCUUGAUCUGGCUUCAGAUACACUCCAUCUGGUUUUCAUGUUCACUCAUAAGUCCCUCCCCUCCUCCAACAUGGUCACUCCUCUCUUACCGUAUUUUGCUCCACCAUCUAUCUCACUCGGAACCUGGGAUUUAGUAGAUGCUGAAUAAUGUUCGCUGAAUGAAACCUACUGAACUUUCUCUGGCCUUACUCUGUCUCUAAUUCUACUGCUCCCACGAUUUUCUCGCCUGUCAUUCCACCGAUGUUAUUAAAUUUAUUUCUUGUACAAAAUAUGGAUUUUGCCCCUUCAACUUUACUCAAUGUGUACUGAUGCCUGUAUCUGUGAGUAUAUUUGGUUGAUGUGUGUCUAUGUCUCUAUAAUGUCUUUGUGAGUAAAUUCAAGUGGUAGGACUCGGAGCCACUACAUAACUGGACUAGUUGAGGCUGACUGGUACUUGGAUGAUCGUGAUAAUACAUCUCUGACUUACACAGAAAUGCACUGCAUAAUCACCAGCACGGAAUUAUAAGGUUGUGAUGGUUAAAUGUAACUGUGUUACACGACUCUCAAGAUCAAUGCAAGGUGAUUAAAUAACGAAAAGAAUAUAAAUCCUCCCCUUGACAUAUCUCAGAACCAUGCAAAGUCCAACAACCUCACUUGUGAUAUGACAUCAUAGUAGCCUGCCAAUCAUGUACCUAUCCUUGGA